AGGUAAGCUACUAAGAGCGAAUGGUGGAUGCCUUGACUGGUAGAGGCGAUGAAGGACGUACUAGACUGCGAUAAGCUACGGGGAGCUGUCAAGAAGCUUUGAUCCGUAGAUUUCCGAAUGGGGCAACCCAAUGUAUAGAGAUAUACAUUACCUAUAUAGGAGCGAACGAGGGGAAUUGAAACAUCUUAGUACCCUCAGGAAAAGAAAUCAAUAGAGAUUGCGUCAGUAGCGGCGAGCGAAAGCGCAAGAGGGCAAACCCAGUGCUUGCACUGGGGGUUGUAGGACUGCAAUGUGCAAGAGGUAAGUUUAGCAGAACAUUCUGGAAAGUAUAACCAUAGAGGGUGAUAGUCCCGUAUGCGAAAAACAAACCUUAGCUAGCAGUAUCCUGAGUAGGGCGGGACACGAGGAAUCCUGUCUGAAUCCGGGUCGACCACGAUCCAACCCUAAAUACUAAUACCAGAUCGAUAGUGCACAAGUACCGUGAGGGAAAGGUGAAAAGAACUGAGGUGAUCAGAGUGAAAUAGAACCUGAAACCAUUUGCUUACAAUCAUUCAGAGCACUAUGUAGCAAUACAGUGUGAUGGACUGCCUUUUGCAUAAUGAGCCUGCGAGUUGUGGUGUCUGGCAAGGUUAAGCAAACGCGAAGCCGUAGCGAAAGCGAGUCUGAAUAGGGCGCUUAGUCAGAUGCUGCAGACCCGAAACGAAGUGAUCUAUCCAUGAGCAAGUUGAAGCUAGUGUAAGAACUAGUGGAGGACUGAACCCAUAGGCGUUGAAAAGCCCCGGGAUGACUUGUGGAUAGGGGUGAAAGGCCAAUCAAACUUCGUGAUAGCUGGUUCUCUCCGAAAUAUAUUUAGGUAUAGCGUUGUGUCGUAAUAUAAGGGGGUAGAGCACUGAAUGGGCUAGGGCAUACACCAAUGUACCAAACCCUAUCAAACUCCGAAUACCUUAUAUGUAAUCACAGCAGUCAGGCGGCGAGUGAUAAAAUCCGUCGUCAAGAGGGAAACAACCCAGACUACCAGCUAAGGUCCCUAAAUCUUACUUAAGUGGAAAACGAUGUGAAGUUACUUAAACAACCAGGAGGUUGGCUUAGAAGCAGCCAUCCUUUAAAGAAAGCGUAAUAGCUCACUGGUCUAGUGAUUUUGCGCGGAAAAUAUAACGGGGCUAAAGUAAGUACCGAAGCUGUAGACUUGCACACAACUUAGAUUAUUUAAGUUUAGAAUAUGAGAAACUAAGUUAUAUGUUUAGUUAUAUUUUUACUGAUUUUUAUAGAGUAAAGAUAGAAAUAAAACUUAGUAAAAUCAGUAAAAAUAUUCUUAGACUAAAGUUAAGUAGUUUAAGUUGUGUGCAAGUGGUAGGAGAGCGUUCUAUUUGCGUCGAAGGUAUACCGGUAAGGAGUGCUGGAGCGAAUAGAAGUGAGCAUGCAGGCAUGAGUAGCGAUAAUUAAUGUGAGAAUCAUUAACGCCGUAAACCCAAGGUUUCCUACGCGAUGCUCGUCAUCGUAGGGUUAGUCGGGUCCUAAGUCGAGUCCGAAAGGGGUAGACGAUGGCAAAUUGGUUAAUAUUCCAAUACCAACAUUAGUGUGCGAUGGAAGGACGCUUAGGGCUAAGGGGGCUAGCGGAUGGAAGUGCUAGUCUAAGGUCGUAGGAGGUUGUACAGGCAAAUCCGUAUAACAAUACUCCGAGAACUGAAAGGCUUUUUGAAGUCUUCGGAUGGAUAGAAGAACCCCUGAUGCCGUCGAGCCAAGAAAAUUUUCUAAGUUUAGCUAAUGUUGCCCGUACCGUAAACCGACACAGGUGGGUGGGAUGAGUAUUCUAAGGCGCGUGGAAGAACUCUCUUUAAGGAACUCUGCAAAAUAGCACCGUAUCUUCGGUAUAAGGUGUGGUUAGCUUUGUAUUAGGAUUUACUCCGAAAGCAAGGAAACUUACAACAAAGAGUCCCUCCCGACUGUUUACCAAAAACACAGCACUCUGCUAACUCGUAAGAGGAUGUAUAGGGUGUGACGCCUGCCCGGUGCUCGAAGGUUAAUUGAUGGGGUUAGCAUUAGCGAAGCUCUUGAUCGAAGCCCGAGUAAACGGCGGCCGUAACUAUAACGGUCCUAAGGUAGCGAAAUUCCUUGUCGGUUAAAUACCGACCUGCAUGAAUGGCGUAACGAGAUGGGAGCUGUCUCAAAGAGGGAUCCAGUGAAAUUGUAGUGGAGGUGAAAAUUCCUCCUACCCGCGGCAAGACGGAAAGACCCCGUGGACCUUUACUACAGCUUGACACUGCUACUUGGAUAAGAAUGUGCAGGAUAGGUGGGAGGCUUUGAGUAUAUGACGCCAGUUGUAUAUGAGCCAUUGUUGAGAUACCACUCUUUCUUAUUUGGGUAGCUAACCAGCUUGAGUUAUCCUCAAGUGGGACAAUGUCUGGUGGGUAGUUUGACUGGGGCGGUCGCCUCCCAAAUAAUAACGGAGGCUUACAAAGGUUGGCUCAGAACGGUUGGAAAUCGUUCGUAGAGUAUAAAGGUAUAAGCCAGCUUAACUGCAAGACAUACAAGUCAAGCAGAGACGAAAGUCGGUCUUAGUGAUCCGGUGGUUCUGUGUGGAAGGGCCAUCGCUCAAAGGAUAAAAGGUACCCCGGGGAUAACAGGCUGAUCUCCCCCAAGAGCUCACAUCGACGGGGAGGUUUGGCACCUCGAUGUCGGCUCAUCGCAUCCUGGGGCUGGAGCAGGUCCCAAGGGUAUGGCUGUUCGCCAUUUAAAGCGGUACGCGAGCUGGGUUCAGAACGUCGUGAGACAGUUCGGUCCCUAUCUGCCGUGGGCGUAAGAAGAUUGAAGAGAUUUGACCCUAGUACGAGAGGACCGGGUUGAACAAACCACUGGUGUAGCUGUUGUUCUGCCAAGAGCAUCGCAGCGUAGCUAAGUUUGGAAAGGAUAAACGCUGAAAGCAUCUAAGCGUGAAGCCAACUCUAAGAUGAAUCUUCUCUAAGCUCUCUAGAAGACUACUAGUUUGAUAGGCUGGGUGUGUAAUGGAUGAAAGUCCUUUAGCUGACCAGUACUAAUAGAGCGUUUGGCUUAUCUUU
rnacentral:rRNA from 1 species